rnacentral:rRNA from 1 species
UACAGAGACUGCAAGCGUUAUUCGGAUUCACUGGGCGUAAAGGGUGCGCAGGCGGCCAAGUGUGUGAGGUGUGAAAGCCCGGGGCUUAACCCCGGAAUUGCACCUCAAACUACUUGGCUAGAGCAUUGGAGAGGGUAGCAGAAUUCACGGUGUAGCAGUGAAAUGCGUAGAUAUCGUAAGGAACGCCAGUGGCGAAAGCGAGUCUCUGGGCAGCAUCUGACACUGAGGCACGAAGGCCAGGGGAGCAAACGGG